CAUAAUUAAUUGAAAAUAUUUAUUAAUUAAAUAUAAUAAAGUCACAGUUACACGAUUAAUGAUCACAAAUUCAUAAUUAUUGGUCACAAAUUUACUUAUUGGUCACAUAUCAUCGAAUUAAUUGGUUACAGAUUAUUUCGAGGUCACAAAUCAAAGAUUUUGUAGGUCACAGAUCAAAAAAUUACAGGUCUCAAAUUAUUUCAUUGGUCAUAGAUCAAAAAAAUUAUAAGUCACAGGGUCACAUAUGUUCAAAUUUAUUGAUCACAUGCACCAAAUACCCCCACCACCGAUCCUGAUCCAACACCAAUCUUGAUCACAAAUCACCACCGCGCAAUUGUCGCUUGCACUGCACCAACACCGUCAACAAAACAAACAUCAAUUCAGCAAAAAAACCACCACCACCAUCGUUGCCUACACUACACCUCCACCAAUUCUAAUUGUGCAUAGUUAAAACCACCACUAAUCAAAUCGGACUAGCACCACACCAUCGCGUGCAACGCACCACCCCCAUCAACAAAACGAACACCGUCUUUGCUACCUGCAAUGCAGUAAAAAACCACCACUACCAUCACCGCCUGCACUACAUCACCAACAAAAACUACCACUGUCUCUACACAACACCACCAUAACCACCAAUAAGCACCGACCAAAAAACGCCGACCACCACACCGUCGCUUGCACAACAGCACAAGAACCAACCACCACCUCCACCGUUGCCAGAAACCACCACAAUCGCCACCACCAAACACACCAACAAUACCCAACCCACAAUCUCACCACCGUUUCCACCACCAACACGACUACCUCUUAUUAUGACCAUAACCACCAGUUCAAUCAAUCACUGCGCUACCUACACCUUCAAUUAACCUGGUUCUACCAAAUAAUCCCCAUAUCGUCGCAGCCACCACUACUGCACGAUACUAUGCCCAUAUCUAUGAUUCACCACAACCUCCUCAGAUUGGAAAGAGAAAGAAAAAGCCCCAAGCCCCUCCAACGCGGCACCAGUCGAUGCCAAAGCAGCAUAGCGAACAAAGCUUCCCCGAUGCUGUUGUGAACAUAGUCGGCGCCAAUACUCCUGCGAACAAAGCUGUGUUCACGCCAAGGACUAUAGCUUCGCCGGAGUGUGUGAACGCUACCGAAGGGGAGAUCAAAGAACGAUUGGAGCCACUAAGUGAGGUUUGCUUUAGAGGAGAAGAGAGACAAAACAAAAUAGAAUAACUGCCGGUGAGCUUGCUUCAAAGCUUCGUCGGUCGUGAAUCGCCGCCGACGAUGGUGACAGUGGUUUUCUUAUGGAGAGAAGGGAGAGAGAGGAAAGACAGUAGAGAGAGAAAAGAUAAGAUUAGAGUUUGAAAAUUGAAU
rnacentral:lncRNA from 1 species